CAAAAGUCACCCCCCACACACAAACUCAGAAAUCUUACAGAAUGAAAAUAAACAUCAGCUUCAAGGCAGAAUAGAAAAGAGGGCCAACUAAGGAAAACAGCCUUGAACAAACAGACACCUGCCUAUAUGAUCUACCUGAUGCUCCUCACAGUUAACACUGCUACUGCCUUUCCCCCUCUUCGCUAGGUGCAAGAAAACCAGCUCAAAACAGGGAUUCAUCUUUAAGGCACAGAAGGACCUCACAGACUGGAAAUCAUGGCUCCUGUCUCCUACCCCCAUUCUCCUCUCAGAGCUGUGUGGUCCUCUGGUGUUUCUCACAUCUUCUGCUGACCCGGAGAGGAUAAGCAAACACUCCACAAUGCCCAUCAGGUGCCCAGUGAAUGCAAGGGCUGUCAGGACACAGUCCUCUUCCAGACACUUGUCAGAGUGCCCAGUGACUCUCGUGCAGAUCCCCUCCAGGGCCAAAUUAAACAUUCUACUGUUACCAAUAAAAGAAAACUACAUGGCUAUCAUCACCUGGGGAUAUCUCACACCACCACCCUAAAAGGAAAUGCAAAGUUACAUCAGUGACUUACCAGCUGGCUGUGUUUGUGCUAUUCUCUUUGGCUGCUGAAUUUCAGCGAAUGAAUGACCCUGACUUCCACAGGAAAAUAUCAUUCAGGAAUAGUGAAGAAAUACGAAAAUCAUAUUACAAGAUUAAUAAAACUAUGGUCCAGAAACAUAAACUGAUCUGUACCAGCAUGUACAGGGCUCCUGACCAGAGCAAGCCUUCUGACCUCCAGAUGGUUGUGGCCCAGCCUGGUGGCACAGGAGAGAGGGCAGAACACGGAGCCGUCGGGUUUGAAGUGACAAGCCCCGCUUAAAACAAAGCUCUGCUACCAUUGUGUGGUCUUCAGCAGAUUAUUUUUAAAAUCUCCCGGAGCCUCAUUUUCUUCAUUGAAAAUAUAUUUCUACUUAUGCAGU